AUGGCAGCCCAUGUAGCUUCCCAUCACCAACAGCAGGCAGCACAGAAGAGCUUGCUGCCCCUCCUGAGCUCUGCCGUGGAGCCCCCUGUUCAGAAACCAUUGCUUCCAAUACCAGUAACUCAGAAACCCCAGGGUGCACCAGAAACAUUAAAGGAUGCCAUUGGGAUUAAAAAAGAAAAACCCAAAACUUCAUUUGUAUGCACUUACUGCAGUAAAGCUUUCAGGGACAGCUGUCACCUGAGGCGCCAUGAAUUCUGCCAAACUGGGACCAAGUUGGUGUCCCGGCCAAAGAAAACCCACACCACGGUGUUACCCCUUAUCUCUACCAUCGCUGGGGACAGCAGCCGAACUUUGUUGGUCUCGACCAUUGCAGACAUCUUGUCAACAGUCACCACAUCUUCCUCGGGCACCAACCCCAGUAGCAGUGCCAGCACCACAGCUAUGCCGGUGACUCAAUCUGUCAAGAAACUCAGUAAGCCUGUCAAGAAGAACCGUGCUUGUGAGAUGUGUGGGAAGGCCUUCCGAGAUGUGUACCAUCUCAGUCGGCACAAGCUCUCCCAUUCAGAUGAGACGCCCUUCCAGUGUCCUAUUUGCAAUCAGCACUUCAAGAGGAAGGACCGGAUGACUUACCAUGUGAGGUUUCAUGAAGGAGGCAUCACCAAACCCUAUACUUGCAGUGUUUGUGGGAAAGGCUUCUCAAGGCCUGACCACUUAAGCUGUCACGUAAAACAUGUCCAUUCAACAGAAAGACCCUUCAAAUGCCAAACGUGCACUGGUGCCUUUGCCACCAAAGACAGACUGCGGACACACAUGGUGCACCACGAAGGCAAGGUAUCAUGUAACAUCUGUGGGAAGCUCCCGAGUGCAGCAUACAUCACCAGCCACUUAAAGACUCAUGGGCAGAGCCAAAGUAUCCACUGUAAUACAUGUAAACAAGGCGUCAGUAAAACAGGCGUAAGUGAAGAGACCAGUAACUAAAAGCAGCAGCAGGAGCAGCAGCAACAACAACAACAACAACAUGUGACAAGCUGGCCAGGGAAGCAGGUAGAAACACUGAGACUGUGGGAAGAAGCUGUUAAAGCGAGGAAGAAAGAAGCUGCUAAUCUGUGCCAAACCUCCACGGCUGCUACGGCACCUGUGAUUCUCACUACUCCAUUCAAUAUAACAUCCUCUGUGUCGUCUGGGACUAUGUCAAACCCAGUCACAGUGGCAGCUGCAAUGAGCAUGAGAAGUCCAGUAAAUGUUUAAAGUGCAGUUAACAUAACCAGCCCAAUGAACAUAGGGCAUCCUGUAACUAUAACCAGUCCAUUAUCCAUGACCUCUCCUUUAACACUCACUACCCCGGUCAACCUCCCCACCCCCGUCACUGCCCCAGAGAAUACAGCACACCCUGUCACCAUCACAUCUCCAAUGAGUCUGCCCACGCCUAUGACAUUAGCCGCCCCUCUCAAUAUAGCAAUGAGACCUGUAGAGAGCAUGUCUUUCUAGCCCCAAGCUUUGCCUACAUCACCGCCUUGCUAA